CAAUGGGCGAAAGCCUGAUGCAGCAACGCCGCGUGCGGGAAGACGGCCUUCGGGUUGUAAACCGCUUUCAGUAGGGACGAAGCUAACGUGACGGUACCUACAGAAGAAGCACCGGCUAACUACGUGCCAGCAGCCGCGGUGAUACGUAGGGUGCGAGCGUUGUCCGGAAUUAUUGGGCGUAAAGAGCUUGUAGGCGGUUUGUCACGUCGGGAGUGAAAACUCGGGGCUUAACCCCGAGCCUGCUUCCGAUACGGACUGACUUGAGGAAGGUAGGGGAGAAUGGAAUUCCUGGUGAAGCGGUGGAAUGCGUAGAUAUCAGGAGGAACACCAGUGGCGAAGGCGGUUCUCUGGACCUUUCCUGACGCUGAGAAGCGAAAGCGUGGGGAGCAAACAGGCUUAGAUACCCUGGUAGUCCACGCCGUAAACGGUGGGUACUAGGUGUGGGGAACAUUCCACGUUCUCCGUACCGCAGCUAACGCAUUAAGUACCCCGCCUGGGGAGUACGGUCGCAAGGCUAAAACUCAAAGGAAUUGACGGGG
rnacentral:rRNA from 1 species